GCCCACGUCACCAGCCCAGCCGAGAUCUGCCUGGGCACUGCGAGGGCAGGUGGAGAGUCCUUGGAGGCCUGGGAGCAAAGCUCCGUCUGCAGGGGAUUUUCAUGUGGUUGUCCCCGCCGCCAGCCUCCAGCAUCUCCUAGACGUGCCCAGGUCCUUUUGGGUCGUUAUUACUAUCUUUAAUCCUCACAAGAACUCAGCACACAGCCAUCAUCAUUCCCCCUCUGCACAGUUGAAGACAAAGACUCAGAGAGGUUCAGCAACUGUGUCAAGCCCACACAGCUGCUCCACAUCACGCCCGGGCCCGGCUACUGUCAGCUCUUGCCUGGACCAUUGCCACAGCCUCACUGUCUCCCUGCUCAACUCCAAGUCAUUCUCUGCUCAGCAGAGGAGAGUUCCUAAAACUGCAAACCGAACAGCACAUCACGCCCUGUUUAGAGUCGGAGGACUUCCUAUCCUUGGACUCAAACUCACUCUCAAACUCCUGCCCGCGUCCCC
rnacentral:lncRNA from 1 species